UUAGAAUUAGUGUUCAAGCUUCUAACUUGAGUGAGGGGACGGUGCUCUCCAUUCUAUU
rnacentral:tRNA from 1 species